AGUGUCAGACGCACCUGCCAUGCCUUGCAGACCAGGGUGGCCCAUUUGUCCAACCUCUCCACGAAAUCCAGGCGUUCCUGGUCUACCACCAAUCCCAGGCAUGCCCUUCUGCCCAAUGGGUCCCAUGAAACCUGUACGGCCAACGCGCAGGACGCAUAGCCCAUGCUCGCUGACCAGAUACUGUGUGGAGCGGAGAAACCCAGACUCUUUAGUUACUGUCCUCGUUGACUUUAACAAGGAUAGUCUCAGCCAUGAACUCUCCAAAUACAGACAGUUUUAUUAAAUGUCCGACCAGAGAGGAGAAUAUUCUGGAUCACUGUUACACUACAGUAAGCGGUGCCUAUCCUGCCGUCCCCCAUGCUUGCACUGGGACACUCUGACCACGUCAUGGUCCACCUGAUUCCUGCAUACAGGCAGAAAUGAAACCUGUUGUGAAGACAUCAAAGAAGUGGACCAGUGACGCUAUGGAGGACCUUUGGGCGUACUUGGACUGUACUGACUGGGAUAUUUUCAGGACUGCUAUCAGUCUGGAUGAGUUCUGUGUUUAUUAUCAGGCAUCAAAAUACCAAUACAAAUUCCUCGUAUGUGUAAACCUACAUGGCAAUAAAGCUGAUUCUGAUGAGA